UGCACGUACACUUUAUUGUGGGAAUCUAAGUGAGAAAGUCACUGAGGAUAUUCUCUACGAGUUAUUCUUACAACAUCCUGCGAAAAAUUUGCUUCGUCUGUAAAAAGUACAACACUUCAAAAUUUGGAAAAGUACACUGUUGCAAAUACCACUGAGCAAAAAAUUACUCGUGAUGGAUAAUCCUCUGCUGAAUGGUUCUCUCUUCGCUCUCAAUUAAUUGUAUUGGGACGUCGCGAGAAGUAUUUAAUUACUUAUUAAAUAUAAUUAGUCCUAGACUUGAAAAGAAAAUCGAAAAGAUACGGCCGACAAACGAUUUCUUCAGAAUUAGAAUUAUUGAUAACAAUAUGGACUAUGGCAACACCAAAUUCAUAUAGAUCUGUUUGUGAUUGAUUUGACGUUGGUCGGGCAACUGCUUGGCAUAGUGUCAAAAAAGUCUGUCAGCAUUUAAUGUUUUGGCAUCUCAGUUUAUUAAAUGGCCAAAUCGGGAGGAAGCUGAAUAGUCAUGGACAGAUAUAAAACUAAAUAUAAAUUUCCAAAAGUAAUUAGUGCCAUCGAUGGCACAUACAUAAGAAUUAUUAAAUCCAUGAUGAAAGCUACAUUAAUCGGAAAGGUUACCAUUCAAUACAACUGCAAGUUAUCAAAUUAAGUUGAUAAUGUCAUUGUGAAACAUGUCAUAACAUGUCGAAUAUUAAAAACUGAAAAAUUCUUGCAUUACGCUAACAAAGUUGCAAACGAUACUUACAAAUUUGCAAACGUUGCAAUUUUGCAGUAUCAGAUUAUAUUGAUGUCAUCAUCGGAUGUGUCUAAAAAUCUUUUAUUACAAAAAAUUGUUGGAGGGGAUAAGAUUUAAAUAGAGAUUGGAGCAACGAUACUGCAUCAGUCGCUCAGACAGAUUCGUUUUGUGUUGUGAUCUUCAACGCUAUAGAUUCAUACAUUCAACAUGAGUCGAGCAACGCGUUUUCUCAUACAAUUUUGGGAAGAAUAUUCGUAUUGAUACCGACAGCGUACAAAUUUCUAGAGAGUGGAGUCGCCAUGGGGCCUACGUAGAAAUGACCAUUGACACUCGAGGCAACCGCGUACUGUUUCAAGUUAUGUGGACACUAUUCGUAAAUAAAUCGAUAUCGAGCGAAUGAUACAAUCGACUACUCCAUCAUCGUUAAUGAUUCAGGAGCUUCAAAUUGAACUUGUCAAAAUACUCGGCGCGGAAGAGAAGGCGCGGGGGAAUACUAAUAGGCGCGGGGAAAGGAGGGGAGGCGCGGGAAGUCCCGAUGCUAUCGGUGUUUACUGAUAUGAUGUCCACACCUUGCCGCAGGCGCCAGCGUCAGUGUCAGCGUCAGCGCCACCGCCGUCACUUCACACCUCGCCGCCGCCGCAGACCCCGCGUCCAUCCUAAAGUGUGUUUCGGACCGCCACCGUAGACUUCGCGUCUACCCCAAAAUGCGUUUCAGCUGCCGCAGAAUUCAUUCCCACCCCAAAAUGCGUGGCGAUAUUAUAACGAGAACAAGAAAUAUUAAAGAAAAAAAUAUAUUAUAUAUUAUAAUA